UCUUUCGGUCCCGUUUCUGGCCACGCUUGGAUCUGGGAACGGAAAGCAGGUGGGCACCGCCGUGCCUGCCAGGCCAGUGUGCACCCGGGAACACGGCACCGCCCCAGGGUUCCCGACAGAGGGACGUCACUCCCAAGAGUCGGUCACGCGGGUCACCCAAUGGCUGAGAAGCCAACCGAGGGUUAGCGGGACAGCGAGGCCGCCGAAGGGUAGCUACAGCAGGAAGCCGUCACCGCCUCCGGCUGGAGGGACAAGAGAAGGAGGAAAAGGAACAAGAGCUCCUUGGAGAAGAGGCCAAUGCACCGGCUGGGGCAGGGAAGUGCAGGAAUAAGCCUGAAGAACCUCAUAGUGCUGGAAGGCUCAGCAAAGAUCCAGAAGGGACUCCAGUUUUGGAAUUCUAUAACUUCUGUGGGAACUUGUUGGCUAGUCCAGUGCCCAUGCUGUGGGGAGGUGAGGGGUGAAGAUAACAGGACCAGAGAGAGUCCUGCGGAGCCCCAGGAGCCCGCGCCUGCCGGCACAGCACAGGAGGUGGCCACUGGACAGAAGCAAGGAUGGUCCCCUCUGGAGCCCCCUGAGAAGCCUGGGUGAGAGGAAGUGUGCGAAGUUGAAAGGGAUUUCAUCCUCAAGCAGAAAGCAUUUAGCAGAUGUCUAAACCCUCGUUUGGAGGAGGGGGAGAUAUUAUGCCAAUUAAAUCAAGACAAUAGCAUCUUGUUCCCCCUGCAGUGAACCCUGAUAAAAUUGCCCGUCCAGGGGAAGGAAAGUAUUUCAUUAUUGCACCUUUGAAAGAGGAUAAUCCUUUCUGUAUUUCCUCUCUGGGGGAUGGUGUCCUUUGUUCUUGCACCUCUGACUCACAGCUACUCCUUACCUUUAGUUUCGGGGGAAAAACUCGGUAGUUAAAAAAAAAAAAAAAAAAAGGCAUGUGUGAUUUAAUGACCAGGUUGUUAGACAAGUGAAGACCCAUCUCAGGAUUCUGAUCGAUAAACCAGAGGUGAUGACACAGUAAUCUCACAGUGUCCCCUGGGCCGGGGCACUGACACUCAGGAAGUGCCUUCUGCUUCCCUGGGGAUUGGGGCCCCCGGCUGGGCCCUGCAGAGCUGACUCCUCUGGGGCAGGCAUCUGAGACUGGUGGACGUGCAAGUCUGGAAAAGAUCUUUUGGAACCGGGAGGGGCGACAGGUUACCACUCUGAUGACCUCACUCCAGGACAGAAAGCCAGAAAGUGUAACAAGGAAAAGAAUUGCUCUCACAGAAUCUGUGGGAUGGGAUCGUAAAGCCCAUCAAGCCCAGUGGCUCCAUCUUACAGCUGCAGACACUAAGGCUGGGCCUGAUUGAGAAACAUUCCCAGAUCUGCUGAAUGAGUCUAACGGGCCUUGCAGCACUCGGGAGGGGCUUAUCCCCAAAACGUUGGAGUUUCCAAAGAGCAUCAAAGAACAAAAUAAAAAAUUAGAAGCUCUGCCCA